CCUCCGCCCGCUGCUGCGGACAGGCCGCUCCGGCCCCCCGCGGCAUCGGUCCCGCCCGGUGAGCGGGCAGGCCUCGGGCCCCGGCACAGGGACCCCGGCGCCCCGCCGGCCCUUUACAAAGCCACCCAAUCAGCGCCUGCAGCGCGCCAGACCGACAGCCCCCUCCGCCAAUCAGCGGCGCUCGCGGCGGCGGCCAAUCGAAAGGCGAGACGCAGCGGGGAGUGUGGCUGGGCGGGUCACGUGGGGCGCGCUCGGCCAAUCAGCGGCGCGCGACGCGGGGUCGCCCCGGCUCCCGCCAAGUACGAGCGGGACGGGCCGGGCGGGACCGGGCCCGGAGCGGCGGGGGCUGCGCGGGCCGGGCCGCCUCAGGGUCGGCCGCCGCCGCCCGGCACCGCCGCGAGCCGCGCCCGCCGCCGCCGCCACAGGUAGGGCCGGGCUGGGGGUGCGGCGCGGCCGGGGCGCGCGGUGUUUCCGGCGGCGGUUGGGCCGCGGGGUGCGCGGGGCCUGCCCGGGGUAACAAAGGAGGUGCCGGAGCUGCCGCCGCGCCCCGGGGCUGGGCCCGGGCCCGCCCUGCAGCCGCACUCGUGCAGUCACAGACCGGUUUGGGUGGGGAGCGAUCGGAGAGCCCAUCCCGGUCCCACCCGUGCCAUGGGCAGGGACGGCUCGCGCUGUCCCCGGGUGCUGCAGCCGGGCCUGGGCGCUGCCGGGGAUCCAGGGGCAGCCGGAGCUGAUCUGGGCACCUGUGCAGGGCCUGCGCUCCCUCACAGCCAGGAAUUCCCUCCUCGCAUCUCCUUGGGUGCCGGCACGGGCUCCUGGGGACGUUGCUGCCCCAGGACAGUGUGAGGGGGACAGUGCGGCUGCGGGACCCGGUGGGUCGGGGGUUCCUUUGGCUUGGGGGUGACACUGGGACCACUUUGUCCUCCCUCAGCGGCCCUGGGAGAGCUGCUGGGCUCUGCCUCAGCCGUCCCGGGGAGGCAGCAGCUCGCUGGGAACAACCACGGGUGCUGAUU
rnacentral:lncRNA from 1 species